AACGAACGCUGGCGGCAGGCUUAACACAUGCAAGUCGAACGCCCCGCAAGGGGAGUGGCAGACGGGUGAGUAACGCGUGGGAAUCUACCCAUCCCUACGGAACAACUCCGGGAAACUGGAGCUAAUACCGUAUACGCCCUUAGGGGGAAAGAUUUAUCGGGGAUGGAUGAGCCCGCGUUGGAUUAGCUAGUUGGUGGGGUAAAGGCCUACCAAGGCGACGAUCCAUAGCUGGUCUGAGAGGAUGAUCAGCCACAUUGGGACUGAGACACGGCCCAAACUCCUACGGGAGGCAGCGGUGGGGAAUAUUGGACAAUGGGCGCAAGCCUGAUCCAGCAAUGCCGGGUGGGUGAUGAAGGCCUUAGGGUUGUAAAGCUCUUUCACCGAUGGAGAUAAUGACGGUAGUCGGAGAAGAAGCCCCGGCUAACUUCGUGCCAGCCGCCGCCGUAAUAC
rnacentral:rRNA from 1 species